rnacentral:lncRNA from 1 species
AGGUGCACAUGAUGGGAGUUUUACAUAUGUGGUAUGUAUUGGUACUAUGCUAUUCUUGUAUUGUUUUAUUAUAGUAGGUUUCUUUAAACCACUCAAUCAAAUUACUCUAUUUAUUUUUAGGAGCAAGAGGAUGAUGUCGAAAACAUUUCAUUUCCAAAAAGUUUGGUGGAGAGCAACUAGAUUAUCCUUUUGUAAGUUUGUAUUAUGCUUAGCUAGUUGAGUGGUUUUUUCUUUAAAAGUGUCCAUUCAAUACUUAUUUUAAGUUUACUUUGCAUUUGGAUCUAACUUGUUAUAUUUUUCUAUUGUGAUAUCUAUCAAAAUUAGAGUUGGAGACUUGGAGUAGGACUGAUGCUUUUUGUAAUGGAUUGUUGGAUGGAGUCUACAUGGCUGAACCUGAAUGGCCUGGACCUGAAUGGACAUCAUGGUCAAUUGGUCAUGGCUGAACCUGAAUGGACAUCAUGG